rnacentral:rRNA from 1 species
UACAGAGGGGGCAAGCGUUGUUCGGAAUUACUGGGCGUAAAGGGCGCGUAGGCGGCCCGCUAAGUCGAACGUGAAAUCCCCGAGCUCAACUCGGGAACUGCGUCCGAUACUGGCGGGCUUGAAUCCGGGAGAGGGAUGCGGAAUUCCAGGUGUAGCGGUGAAAUGCGUAGAUAUCGGGAGGAACACCAGUGGCGAAGGCGGCUUCCUGGACCAGCACUGACGCUGAUGCGCGAAAGCUAGGGGAGCAAACAGG